rnacentral:rRNA from 1 species
CCUACGUGUGACAGCAGUGAGGAAUAUUGGUCAAUGGGCGCGAGCCUGAACCAGCCAAGUAGCGUGAAGGAUGACUGCCCUACGGGUUGUAAACUUCUUUUAUAAAGGAAUCAAGUGAGGCACGUGUGCCUUUUUGUAUGUACUUUAUGAAUAAGGAUCGGCUAACUCCGUGCCAGCAGCCGCGGUAAUACGGAGGAUCCGAGCGUUAUCCGGAUUUAUUGGGUUUAAAGGGAGCGUAGAUGGGUUGUUAAGUCAGUUGUGAAAGUUUGCGGCUCAACCGUAAAAUUGCAAUUGAUACUGGCAGUCUUGAGUACAGUUGAGGUAGGCGGAAUUCGUGGUGUAGCGGUGAAAUGCUUAGAUAUCACGAAGAACUCCGAUUGCGAAGGCAGCUUACUAAACUGCCACUGACAUUGAUGCUCGAAAGUGUGGGUAUCAAACAGGAUUAGAUACCCUUGUAGUC